GUCCAUGGCAAAUUCACGUGAUAUAUCAUAUACUUAGACACACAAAAAAAAUUACAUAUACUUACACCUUUUAAUUUAAUUUAAAAGUUUAUCAUGGCAAAUAAACCCUUUAAUUUAAAAGUUAACAGUUAUGGAAAAAGAUGAUAAUAAUAUUUAUCACAAAACAAAAAUGUUAGCGGUGGUAGAAACAUUUUAAAUGGGAAAAUAUCUAGUGGUGUAAAAAUCUUGCGAUGAUAAGAAAACAACAAAAGACUGCAUGAUUCACAUAACUACCAUUUUUCCAUUUCAAAAGGUGAACAGUUGCUAGAUUCUAGUAUGAAUCUUUACUGGAAAGUCAGUUAUACAAAUGUGCAAGGUAUGAAACAAAGUCAAUACGCGUUUUUAAAGUAGACGUGAUGUUAUAUGCGUUUACUCGAUUUGAAUAAAAUUUGAGCUUACUUUCAGUGGUUAUCUCUCACAUUUAUAAUUAAACGUUGACUACCUUUACUUUACUGAAAAGUAUUUUAAAGAAUAAUUGAAUUUGUGUUAAAAAGUAUAACUGAAUUUAAAACGUGAUUAACCGACUCAGUAACUGAAAUACAACUGAACAUUUUUCUUUUUGUUGGAAUAAAUAUCAUUUUAGCAAAUCAUGUAAAUGAUUCGUUAACUUAAAUAUAAGUAACGUAUUCUCCAAUGGUACACUAUAAUUUUCUCUAUAUUUAAUUUUAAAAUAGAGUAACUCAAUUAUAGAGCUGGAUUUGCUCCAAUGGUUCACUUUAUAAUAGAGUUACUCUAUAAUAGAGUGA
rnacentral:lncRNA from 1 species